rnacentral:rRNA from 1 species
GAUGAACGCUGGCGGUCUGCUUAACACAUGCAAGUCGAACGAACUACUUCGGAGUGAGUGGCGGGACGGGUGAGUAACGCGUGAGAAUCUGCCUGUGGGUCGGGGACAACCACUGGAAACGGUGGCUAAGUACCGGAUGAGCCGAAAGGUAAAAGAUUUAUUGCCCACAGAUGGAGACUCGGCGUCUGAUUAGCUAGUUGGUAAGGUAAAAGCGUACCAAGGCGACGAUCAGUAGCUGGUCUGAGAGGAUGAGCAGCCCACACUGGGACUGAGACACGGCCCAGACUCCUACGGGAGGCAGCAGUGGGAAUUUUCCGCAAUGGGCGAAAGGCCUGACGGAGCAAGACCGCGUGGGGGAGAAGGUUUUUGGAUCGUAAACCCCUUUGUCAAGGAAGAAGCUCUGACGGUACUUGACGAAUAAGCC